rnacentral:rRNA from 1 species
UACGUAGGGGGCGAGCGUUGUCCGGAGUUAUUGGGCGUAAAGCGCGCGCAGGCGGUGCGGUAAGUCUCUGGUGAAAGCGCUCGGCUUAACUGGGCGAGGGCCGGGGAGACUGCCACGCUGGAGGGGAGCAGAGGCGAGUGGAAUUCCGGGUGUAGUGGUGAAAUGCGUAGAGAUCCGGAGGAACACCAGUGGCGAAGGCGGCUCGCUGGGCUCUACCUGACGCUGAGGCGCGAAAGCGUGGGGAGCGAACGGG